UUGGGUCAGGGGGAACUGGGUUCGUGUCCCUAAGAACUAGUGCAAGCUGGGUGUCCAGAGGUGGAGAGGUCACUUGCUGUAAAGUUUUGAUUAACACUAUGACAUAUUUUUCUAUUUCUAGGUUUGGUGUUGGCUAAAUGGUAUAGGAACACUUUAGGAGAUUGGACCGAUAUUUGAGACGUAUUUUUCUACAUAUUUCUAUUUUAAUAUGAAGCUACGAAUGUCAUCGAGAGUUGUAUGGGAGGUUCUCAUCUCUCUCAUCUCUAAUAGGGUGGUUGUUAUGUCCUAUUGUUAGGUUGUGGCGUCGAUCGAGUUCUAGAGACAAUGAUUGGGGUAGAAUGAUCGGGCUGUAAGGUUAAAGUAGAGUGCUCAGAGGAAUGUGUGGAGGCAUCAUUAAGUC
rnacentral:lncRNA from 1 species